rnacentral:rRNA from 1 species
GCUCAGAUUGAACGCUGGCGGCAGGCCUAACACAUGCAAGUCGAGCGGAUGAAGGGAGCUUGCUCCUGGAUUCAGCGGCGGACGGGUGAGUAAUGCCUAGGAAUCUGCCUGGUAGUGGGGGAUAACGUCCGGAAACGGGCGCUAAUACCGCAUACGUCCUGAGGGAGAAAGUGGGGGAUCUUCGGACCUCACGCUAUCAGAUGAGCCUAGGUCGGAUUAGCUAGUUGGUGGGGUAAAGGCCUACCAAGGCGACGAUCCGUAACUGGUCUGAGAGGAUGAUCAGUCACACUGGAACUGAGACACGGUCCAGACUCCUACGGGAGGCAGCAGUGGGGAAUAUUGGACAAUGGGCGAAAGCCUGAUCCAGCCAUGCCGCGUGUGUGAAGAAGGUCUUCGGAUUGUAAAGCACUUUAAGUUGGGAGGAAGGGCAGUAAGUUAAUACCUUGCUGUUUUGACGUUACCAACAGAAUAAGCACCGGCUAACUUCGUGCCAGCAGCCGCGGUAAUACGAAGGGUGCAAGCGUUAAUCGGAAUUACUGGGCGUAAAGCGCGCGUAGGUGGUUCAGCAAGUUGGAUGUGAAAUCCCCGGGCUCAACCUGGGAACUGCAUCCAAAACUACUGAGCUAGAGUACGGUAGAGGGUGGUGGAAUUUCCUGUGUAGCGGUGAAAUGCGUAGAUAUAGGAAGGAACACCAGUGGCGAAGGCGACCACCUGGACUGAUACUGACACUGAGGUGCGAAAGCGUGGGGGGCAAACAGGAUUAGAUACCCUGGUAGUCCACGCCGUAAACGANUUCGACUAGCCGUUGGGAUCCUUGAGAUCUUAGUGGCGCAGCUAACGCGAUAAGUCGACCGCCUGGGGAGUACGGCCGCAAGGUUAAAACUCAAAUGAAUUGACGGGGGCCCGCACAAGCGGUGGAGCAUGUGGUUUAAUUCGAAGCAACGCGAAGAACCUUACCUGGCCUUGACAUGCUGAGAACUUUCCAGAGAUGGAUUGGUGCCUUCGGGAACUCAGACACAGGUGCUGCAUGGCUGUCGUCAGCUCGUGUCGUGAGAUGUUGGGUUAAGUCCCGUAACGAGCGCAACCCUUGUCCUUAGUUACCAGCACCUCGGGUGGGCACUCUAAGGAGACUGCCGGUGACAAACCGGAGGAAGGUGGGGAUGACGUCAAGUCAUCAUGGCCCUUACGGCCAGGGCUACACACGUGCUACAAUGGUCGGUACAAAGGGUUGCCAAGCCGCGAGGUGGAGCUAAUCCCAUAAAACCGAUCGUAGUCCGGAUCGCAGUCUGCAACUCGACUGCGUGAAGUCGGAAUCGCUAGUAAUCGUGAAUCAGAAUGUCACGGUGAAUACGUUCCCGGGCCUUGUACACACCGCCCGUCACACCAUGGGAGUGGGUUGCUCCAGAAGUAGCUAGUCUAACCGCAAGGGGGACGGUUACCACGGAGUGAUUCAUGACUGGGGUGAAGUCGUAACAAGGU